GACGAACGCUGGCGGCGUGCCUAAUACAUGCAAGUCGAACGCACAGUUUAUACCGUAGCUUGCUACACCAUAGACUGUGAGUUGCGAACGGGUGAGUAACGCGUAGGUAACCUGCCUGGUAGCGGGGGAUAACUAUUGGAAACGAUAGCUAAUACCGCAUAAUAUUAAUUAUUGCAUGAUAAUUAAUUGAAAGGUGCAAUUGCACCACUACCAGAUGGACCUGCGUUGUAUUAGCUAGUAGGUGAGGUAACGGCUCACCUAGGCGACGAUACAUAGCCGACCUGAGAGGGUGAUCGGCCACACUGGGACUUAGACACGGCCCAGACUCCUACGGGAGGCAGCAGGAGGGAAUCUUCGGCAAUGGACGAAAGUCUGACCGAGCAACGCCGCGUGAGUGAAGAAGGGUUUCGGAUCGUAAAGCUCUGUUGUAAGAGAAGAACGGGUGUGAGAGUGGAAAGUUCACACUGUGACGGUAUCUUACCAGAAAGGGACGGCUAACUACGUG
rnacentral:rRNA from 1 species